rnacentral:rRNA from 1 species
CACGAACGCUGGCGGCAGGCUUAACACAUGCAAGUCGAGCGCCCCGCAAGGGGAGCGGCAGACGGGUGAGUAACGCGUGGGAAUCUACCCAUCUCUACGGAAUAACGCAUGGAAGCGUGUGCUAAUACCGUAUACGUCCUUCGGGAGAAAGAUUUAUCGGAGAUGGAUGAGCCCGCGUUGGAUUAGCUAGUUGGUGGGGUAAAGGCCUACCAAGGCGACGAUCCAUAGCUGGUCUGAGAGGAUGAUCAGCCACACUGGGACUGAGACACGGCCCAGACUCCUACGGGAGGCAGCAGUGGGGAAUAUUUGACAAUGGGCGCAAGCCUGAUCCAGCCAUGCCGCGUGAGUGAUGAAGGCCCUAGGGUUGUAAAGCUCUUUCACCGGUGAAGAUAAUGACGGUAACCGGAGAAGAAGCCCCGGCUAACUUCGUGCCAGCCGCCGCGGUAAGAC